CCUACGUGUAAAAACCACCUUCGUAUUAAACACCUCUCCUCCUUAACAAGCUAAUAACACAUCUAUGAUUUCAGUAAUUAAAAUAAGUUUUUGUUGCGUUUUGCUUAUGUUAACACCCCAGAGCAAGCGGAGAGACAAGUCAGGUAGGCCAGCAGUUACUGGGACUCUGGGAACUGGGGGUUCAGCUCCUUGCUUCCUCUGCAGUGAGAAAAGGAGGAAGGACCAGACCCUAAAUGUAUUAAAUGCCUUAAUCCAAUUGAAUUUGAUGGAAAUGGGGGCCUAAAUACUGUGGGGAACUGGUUUAAAUUCUAUGUACCUUAGUUCUGCAUCUGUCAUGUAAGGAUAAUAAUUAUACAGCAAAGUAUAACAACAAAUGCAGUAAGGAAAACAAAGUGCUCAGCUACUAUAAUCUGUAAAUGUAAAAAAAUAAUAAGAUCUAAGGAAGACAAUAUGCUUAUUUCUUUUUUAUGAAUCUUGUUUAUGUAGUACUAUCCAAUUUAAAGAGAAGUGUUUACCUGCUUGUUGAUUAAUUUACAGUUGUGUUCCCCAGCUGCAAUCAGAGCACAGUUUCUCUUUCAGAAGUUUAUUAAAAGCAAGCAUCAAAGAGAAGGUAAGGAAACAACUCGACUUUUAGAAAGCAGAAGAAAAGUAUUUACUUCUCAAUGCAAAACUGAGGCUUUUUCACUUCUAAGCUAACUUUCAGCAUCUCAGCUUUCUAUGUGGAGCUUUGCUUCCAGUAUAAAUAAAUGAUCCCACAUUCCGUCAUGAUAACAUAUGCUCAUGCAGAGCUCAAAAUUAGAAGGAAUAUGAAGUGUUCUAUUAAUUGCAUGAAUGUUGAUUGUUAAAAUCAUGUGCUAAUUGGUAAUAUCUGUGUGCAGUAGGUUCCUGCAAUAUGUGUUAGAUUACAUUAACUGUGCUUGUGACUCAGAUAUCAGGCAUUAUGCAUUUUAUAGAAGGAUUUUUUUUUUUUUUUUAAAAAAAAAAAAACUUCAUGUAAUUAGGUUCUAUAGACUAUCAGUGUAGAAGAAUUAGUGGAAGACUGUGUGAAGGGCAUAUGAAGUUAGAGGCAUGAAGAAUACUGAACUCUAAAGAUGCAUCUGCUCCUCUUUCCCAUGGUGUGCUUUCCCUCAAACACUCUCGAAAGUAAUUCUCACCAUGUUUGCCUUCAAGUAAUUCCCAGGGAACAAAUGAGCUUUCUCAGUUUUCAGUUUUUUCCUUUGCAUUCCCUAGGCUUUGAACCAAGAAGCAUUCAGGUCUUCCACCAAGGGCUGGGAAAUGCAUAAAGCUUUUCCCUGUAGGAGGAGGUAUUUCUCCUGUUGGCACAGCACGAACAUGACUACGUGGGAAGAAGAGUGAAGAUUCAUGCCCAGAAAACUUCAUUCUUACCUCACACCAGUUUUACUUUGUGUUACUUUGUUGAACAUGCUAGGAUCAGAUCGGCUAGCUGUACAGUGAGAUGAGCAGCCCUUUCGUAAAAUUCAACAUACUCAAAACCAGCAGCUGUAGAUCUGCUGAUACACUCCCUGCAGUGCUGACAAAAAGUUAAUGAUGCAGGACUAGGCUUCCUUUGCUGUCGCUUAGGUUUUUUUAAUUGAUAUUUGAGAUGAACAAUGUUACUCAGCACUGAAUAAAUGGACGCACACAUUACCACCAUCAAGUGUUUUACGCUCAGCUCACCUUCAGUCUCUUACUGUCUAAUGGAAGCAUAAAAUACCUCCUUUCUGCAUUCAUUUUAACUAGUUAGUAAUAUUCAGUGGCUGCAUCAAAAACCAUUCACAGUAAAGGGUUUUAAUACUUUUA